CUAAAAUAUCGGUUUCCAUGUGUAGGCUAUGUGCUGGAUGGUGUGCUUCCUUUAUGAAAACAGGUAGAUCAGUAAAGGCACUACCAAGAGCCGCGCCUAUCAGCCUUAUUACAAUAAUGGACUGGUCCUUUGGCCCAUAGUCCAUCCAUCAGCCUUGUGGAGCCACUGCAUAAUUCAUCUGAUAACUAAUUUUUCUGGGAAACUACGAAUUUCUACAAACAUCUGUAAAACACAAAGUGAAAUCAUCUCCCCAGUAGAGCAAUGACAUUUUCUGACCCCCUCCAUAAUGAUGGACCCAUCCAGAGGAGUCAUGAGCAGUUACAUGAUUGCAUAACUCCUGAGUGCCUGACAAUUGCUUACCUACAAGGCACACACAGUACAAGUAUGAGACUGCCAACAUAUCUCUUGCUGUGAAUUCACUUGCAUAUUGAGGCCAUGCACUGCACCUACAUUAUGGAGACAUUACAAGCCAUUACGUAAAUCGCUGUGAAUUACAAACAGAGCCACAGAGUUUGUUUUAAUGUGCUGUACGUACUUAUGUGUUUCUGUGGGUUACCUCCAGCUCUUUGACAGCUUGAUGCAGGUAGAAGGCAUUUCUGAGGAAGAUGCGGAGGGUCUCAAAAAACAAACAAACAAUCACACACAAACAGUGAAACAGCAAUAAUUCCAGGCAGAUACCCAAUACAUUAGUCCCUGUACCUUGCCUCAUCAUGCAUUUGUAAAAAAAAAAAAACAGAAAACUAUUAGCACUUUUGUCUUCUUAGGCUCACUAGAACCAAUCAUUCUUCCAUGCAUGAAAAUCAUAAUUUUCAGAGCGGGAGCAUGAAAAGUGUGUGGUUUACAAAACAUCUUUGCAGCUAAUUCACAUGCAGCUGGCUGACUUUUUAAUGUUCUUGUCAAACUGUCAGGACUAAGAGCCAAC